AGCGAACGCUGGCGGCAGGCCUAACACAUGCAAGUCGAGCGCCCGUAGCAAUACGGGAGCGGCAGACGGGUGAGUAACACGUGGGAACGUGCCCUUUGGUUCGGAAUAACUCAGGGUAACUUGAGCUAAUACCGGAUAAGCCCUUACGGGGAAAGAUUUAUUGCCGAAGGAGCGGCCCGCGUCCGAAUAGCUAGUUGGUGAGGUAACGGCUCACCAAGGCUACGAUCGGUAGCUGGUCUGAGAGGAUGACCAGCCACACUGGGACUGAGACACGGCCCAGACUCCUACGGGAGGCAGCAGUGGGGAAUAUUGGACAAUGGGGGCAACCCUGAUCCAGCCAUGCCGCGUGGGUGAUGAAGGCCCUAGGGUUGUAAAGCCCUUUCGGCGGGGAAGAUAAUGACGGUACCCGCAGAAGAAGCCCCGGCUAACUUCGUGCCAGCAGCCGCCGUAA
rnacentral:rRNA from 1 species